GAGGAUGUAGCCCAGUGGUGGGGCACUUACUUAGUGUGGAAGAGAUUCUGGGUUCAAUUCCCCAGUACCAUAA
rnacentral:tRNA from 1 species